UUUGGCCCUUCUGACUUCAGUUUGAGGGGGUAAAGGGCUUGCUGCAGGAGAAAACUCUUCAGAGAAAAGCAAACGUUUUCCUUUUUGCUACAGCACCUUGGAUUGAAGCGGCAGACACGGGGUACCCCUGGAUUAAGAGGCAAUGAUCUGGUGUGGCAUUGCUGAAACCUGAGUGGACCCUGGCUCCUCCUCACUACCUCCCUGACUUAUGGCAACUCCUCACCCGUUCCUGAAGGCUACCGGAGUGACACCUUCGAAUGGACAAGACCAAGGCUUUAUCACAGAGCCCUGUACUAAUUCCUAACUUCCCACCAAGGAGAUGAACCGGGUCUGUUGGCCCACUUGUAAGGGAGUCUGGGCAUAACAUGAAUGGACCAUCUAAAACGCACAAUCAAAAAUGGAUGGUUAGAAUUCCAGCAGAAGCACCACUACCCUAAGCACACAAAUAUAUAAAUUUUAAAAAACAAAACUCAAAAAAUUCCACCAAAAAAAAGCCACCUCCAAUUACCCACAACCACACUACCUAAUGUAAUAACAAAGACCCUACGUCCAAUACCUUUAAUGAAACCUCUAAAAUCUAUGCCAAAAACCCCAUAAAACUAAAAAAAAACUUGCCUUGAACCAAAUAAGAACCAAAAAAAAGUCUUAUAAACUAUACCAAAUUAUUAACCUAAGCAUAUCAAAUCCACCCAAGUAUAAAACCUGAUCACCGGUACACAGUACACACUAAUUUCAUCACAACAUGUAAAACAAAACCUAUUUCUAUUACUAAUGUAAUAAAAACUUCACAAAAUUUAACUGCAAUAAAACCUUAAAAUCUUACUAAAAAUAAAAUUUUAUAAUUCUAUUAUAACCUGAAAACUCAUACAUUCUAAACAUGAACUUUCUGCAAAACAAAUAUUUCUAAAACCCAAAAAUCUCAAAUACACAUUAAAAAUAACUACUAUACAGCCAAAAAACAUAAAACAAUUAAACACCUGACUUCAACUAUUGAACACCAUCUCUACAACUCUUCUUAAAAAACACCCCAACAAACACCAAUUACCACCUCAACAAUACACCACCAGCAACACCAAACAACUCAAAAUACUCUAAUUCCCAUCCAAAAAACACUCUGUAAACUAAAACACCGAAAGAAAUCAACAAAACCCACUCAUCCUUCAAUAACCCCAUUUAACCUACACAUGUAACUGAAUGAAAUAAAAAUUUACUAUAAAGUAUCAUACCUUAAAUAACUCCACCAUUAAACGCUGCUGUACCAAACUUAUUUAAAAAAUCACAAAAGCAAACUACAAGUAGUAAAUAAUACCAAAAAAUAAAACAGGACACUAUA